UACGGAGGGUGCGAGCGUUGUUCGGAAUCACUGGGCGUAAAGCGCGUGUAGGCGGCCCACUAAGUCUGAUGUGAAAGCCCGGGGCUCACCCCCGGAAGUGCAUUGGAAACUGGUGGACUCGAGUCCCGGAGAGGAGAGUGGAAUUCCUGGUGUAGCGGUGAAAUGCGUAGAUAUCAGGAGGAACACCGGUGGCGAAGGCGGCUCUCUGGGCCGGUACUGACGCUGAGGAGCGAAAGCGUGGGGAGCAAACAGG
rnacentral:rRNA from 1 species